rnacentral:SRP_RNA from 1 species
GACUCAGUUUUCCGUAACAAUAAGCUUGCUCACCUGGUCAGAUCUGGAAAGAAGCAGCCAAAGCAUGCAGUUUGUGUACGAUAGUUGACUAGAG